rnacentral:rRNA from 1 species
GACGAACGCUGGCGGCGUGCUUAACACAUGCAAGUCGAACGGUGAGGGCGGCGUUUGCUUUGCUGGAUCAGUUGCGCAAGGGUGAGAAACACGUGAGCAAUCUGCGUCUGCCUCUGGGAUCAGCGCUGGAAACGGCGGCUAAUACUGGUUACGAGCUGCGAGAGCAUCUUCUGCAGCUGGUGAGAAUGACGGUCAGGGAUGAGCUCGCGGCCUAUCAGCCUGUUGGUGAGGUAAUGGCUAACCAAGGCGCCGACGGGUAGCCGGCCUGAGAGGGUGACCGGCCACACUGGGCCUGAGACACGGCCCAGACUGCUGCGGGAGGCAGCGGAGGGGAAUAUUGCACAAGGGGCGACAGCCUGAUGCAGCAACUCCGCGUGAUGGGGGACGGCCUUCGGGUUGUAAGCCUCUUUUAGCAGUGAAGAAGCGAGAGUGACGGUACCUGCUGAAAGAGCGCCGGCUAACUACGUG